rnacentral:lncRNA from 1 species
AUAAAAGAAAGAUAAUUGACAUAGUAUAAUCGAAAUGCAGCGGUAGAAAAGAACAUUCAUGACCAGACAAAAGAUAGUCAUCUCAGCCCACCAAACUAAACAGUUCAACUACCAUGAAAGAUUAGAAUGUAAUAAUUCCCUAGACUUGACCCUUCCUGUUUAACAUCAUUAAUAAUCGGUUAUUCCUUUAUUUAAAAGUGUGGUGGCCGUGCUGCUACAUCCCUUCUCCCAAAGCAAAGAUCAGGUGCCUGCAUCAGACAAUGCAAGAGUGAGAUGACACAUCUCAGCAAGUAAAGAAAAACAAACAACAGUUGGACAAUGCAAGCCAACCGUGCAUAAGCAACCACAUGGUUCCCAACUUCUUCCUUAAAUAUUAAUUUGCAGCAAGUAAGCAAAUACUCAAUUACUCAAUGCCAAGAAGAAUUACAAAGUAAAGAUCCAACUUAUCCACAUCACCAAAAUAGGUUCCACACUUCACCCAUGAAUGCACAUGGCUACAGAUGCAACAUGACUUCUGCCUUCAUACCUCUAAGGAUAUGAAGCUGCAUCAUACCCCUUCUCGGGAAAACAUAUGAUGCUCAUUGUACCGGUACGGUCGGACCAUAAGAUCGCGACGAAAACUUCAAUGCAAUGGAUGAUGAAUGCAUUAUGCAUGUCAACAACAUGAGUUCUUCCCAAAUAAGAUGCGCUAGACAUAUACCUCCACCCAUUUCACAUCAAUAACCACACGGGUAACAUGAUCAAACCACACCCUCCACAUGUAUAAUCAACAGAGCAUGAAUAAUUUCAAACGAUGGUACCCAAUUAGGAAUAUGGAUAUGAACACAAGUAGCACAAACAUAAUCAAGUAUGAGGCUCUUCAAUCAAAGACGAAAUAACCAUCACUGUUUUACUUGCCUUUACCGAAGUUCGGGCAAAAUCCCUAAGAACGAUCCGGAAGUCCACCACCUGUUUUUGACACCCAACUUAGUGCACCAAAUUCUCAUGAAAAAAAACUCAAAGACAACACCGCACCUACGCGCAAUCUCAAACCCCGCCACGGUAACAAUUCUCCCCUCACUAACCAAACUGCAGCGGCGCUGCUUAACAAUUCCAUAACUUAAAAUUUAGGACAGCAGUGAUGAUAAACAAAAACUUCAGAGACAACUACAUAAAAUUCCCCACAAGUUUUGUAUACAACUCAUGAUCGAAUUCUAACAUCUACUUACCUCUAAACGGUCCUCAAAAUAAACCCUGCAAUCUGUUUUUUUCUGAUUUGAGCAGCGACAUACGCGGAUUCAAACAGCGAUAACUUUUAAAAUAUAAUUCCGAUUUGAGCGCAUAAGUACUUGUUGGAAAGAUAAGAAAAAGCCCUACAUGAUUCUCAUACUGAUUAACACUAAUUACUCCCGAAACAUCCCCAGAAACUGCUAAUACUGCUGCUGUUCAUCACUCUGAAAAAUCUGUUUUCUGGACAGCCACAUACCCGGAUUCAAACGAUGAUAACUUUUAAUUUAUAACUCCAAAUUGAGCGCAUAAAUACUCGUUGGAAAGAUAAAACAAAGUUCUACAAGAUUCUCAUACUGAUUAACACUAAUUGCUCCCGAAAAAUUCCCAGAAACUGCCAACACUGCUGCUGUUCAUCACUCUGAAAAAUCUGUUUUCUGGACAGCCACAUACCCGGAUUCAAACGAUGAUAACUUUUAAUUUAUAACUCCAAAUUGAGCGCAUAAAUACUCGUUGGAAAGAUAAAACAAAGUUCUACAAGAUUCCCAAAUUGAUCCCCAUUAAAUCUUCACGAAAAAAAAACUAAAAACUGCUGGAACUUCCGCUGUUCAUCCACCACGCAAAAUUCUGGACAGCCACCCCUCUAUCUAAUCGCAAACGCAACAUCUAAUCCAUUGAAUCGCAGCGCAAAUGAACAAGGGAUGAACACAAAAGAAAAAUCACCUUGGGUUCUCCCCUUUUCCUUCCUCCCUUCUUCCUUCCACCAAAAUGAUUGGAGAUUCGCACCAAAAGACGAUGAUCCGAGCGGCACGGAGUAGCACCUAGGGAGGAGGGGAUUGGGGGGGGGGGGCGGCUAGGGUUUUGGUGGCUGCAACAAUGGAGGGAGGAGGAGGUGGACAGGGG